rnacentral:tRNA from 1 species
GGAUUGUGGCUCAGCGGUAGAGCCUUCAUCUAGCACGUGUGAGGCCCUGGGUUCGAUCUUCAGCACCA